CCCCUCUCAGGAUUGCACCUGGAGGGUUUCCAGUACUCUACCAGUCUAGGCUACAGGAGGGAGAGUCAAGCAGAGGCACAUCCAUCUCUUCCUAGCUUGGUCAGUGGCUAGUGAGUGGAAGGCAAUCUGCUACAAGU